rnacentral:rRNA from 1 species
AGUGAACGCUGGCGGCAGGCCUAACACAUGCAAGUCGAACGGCAGCACAAGAGAGCUUGCUCUCUGGGUGGCGAGUGGCGGACGGGUGAGGAAUGCAUCGGAAUCUGCCCAUUUGUGGGGGAUAACCUCGGGAAACCGGGACUAAUACCGCAUACGACCUACGGGUGAAAGCAGGGGAUCUUCGGACCUUGCGCAGAUGGAUGAGCCGAUGCCGGAUUAGCUAGUUGGAGGGGUAAAGGCCCACCAAGGCGACGAUCCGUAGCUGGUCUGAGAGGAUGAUCAGCCACACUGGGACUGAGACACGGCCCAGACUCAUACGGGAGGCAGCAGUGGGGAAUAUUGGACAAUGGGCGCAAGCAUGAUCCAGCAAUGCCGCGUGUGUGAAGAAGGCCUUCGGGUUGUAAAGCACUUUUGUUGGGAAAGAAAAGCAGCCGGUUAAUACCCGGUUGUCAUGACGGUACCCAAAGAAUAAGCACCGGCUAACUUCGUG